rnacentral:rRNA from 1 species
UACGGAGGGUGCAAGCGUUGCUCGGAAUUAUUGGGCGUAAAGGGCGCGUAGGCGGCCUGCUAAGUCGAACGUGAAAUCCCUGGGCUCAACCCAGGAACUGCGUCCGAUACUGGUUGGCUUGAAUCCGGGAGAGGGAUGUGGAAUUCCAGGUGUAGCGGUGAAAUGCGCAGAUAUCAGGAGGAACACCGGUGGCGAAGGCGGGUCUCUGGGCCGAUACUGACGCUGAGGAGCGAAAGCGUGGGGAGCAAACAGG